rnacentral:lncRNA from 1 species
GCAGCUGGCGAGCGCCUCGGCGUCCUGGCCUGGGGACCGGGGAACCCCUGGAGCAGCAGCCUCAGCUCUUCUAGGCUGCGGUUGAUGCGGUCCCGGCGCCGCUUCUCCACCAACGGCUUCAGCAUCUGUGACCAGCGGGAAAGGAAGAGCGGGCCGACCGGACCGAGACUCAGCGCCGCCGCGCAAGCGUCCGAUCCUGCCGCUGGGAAAACCCCCCAUGCGCCCCUUUCCCCUAAUCCCAGGCUGCUUGGGUCUGGUCCAUUCGUUUCCCUCUCACUCCCUGCUACUUCCCAGUCCCUUGGGUCGCUUUCCGUGGCUCGCCCACUUCUCCCUGCCCUUUCUGUGUUCAGCUUUCUCCUCUCUUCUCCCCUCUAUGGCACUCUUCUUUUCUCUUUAUAUCUCUAUCUUGUGUCGUCUCCCUCUCAGUGUAUCACUGAAGAACUUUAGGGCCACUCUUUGCCCCCAGGCUAGUGAGCCGCGCGAUAGAGACCUAAGGUGAAAGGCAGACACACAGUGCGACCACACCUCCUCUUCUCACUCAAACCCUUCACUCGUUCUCCUAAUAUCUCUCACCUGGCCUCGCACCUCCGGAACCAACGACUCAAAGGUCUUCUCUUUGAGUCAGAUGUGGGUUCCCAGGCGCUUACAGACAGCGUCCAUAGCCUUUCCUCUAUUUUUGUUUCCACCCUCCUCCACCAGCUAUGGCCUCUAGCUUAUCUCAUGUUAUAGUAUAGCUUCGUGGGGUUUUGUUUGUUUGUUUUAUUUUGGUUUGGUUUUUGUUUGUUUGUUUGUUUGUUUUUUCGGUAGGGGUGCACUCUGUGGCCUCGAACUUGCGAUAAUCCACCUGCCCCAGCUUCCCGAGCCCUAGAAUAGGCCACGAUGCCCAAAUUCUGGCACUUUCCUAGCCACAAGCCUUAGCCCACAAUAAUGCAAACCCCUAGACCUCCGCUUCCGCAGCCCGCGCAAGUUGGGCUCUGACCCUGCCCUCUUUAUACUUUACAGGUUCUUUCGGUCUUUUCACUCUUGUGUCUCCAUCCUCAUUCCUAGCCCACAGAGUUAGAACCUUUAAGUCCUCUGGCCUGAACAGGGACCCUAUUUCCCUCCCUUCCCACCUCUCACCUUGGGGCCGUCCCUAUUCUCAGCUCGCUCCCGGGUGACCAUUGCUCCUCCGGACCCUUCGGUGGACUCAGCGCGUGCUGCCUAGAUCCUUAUAUCCCGCCGCUGCAGGGUAGGAGGGCUAGGGCCCGGCCCCGCCCCCUUCAGCCCCUAGAUGCCCAGCUCAAGGACCCCGGCACGAGGCUCCCGGAAAGGCAGGGAGUGAAGGGGGAGGGGAAGGGGAGGAACUAGCCCCAAAUGUGGGAAGUGAGGGGAGGAAGGGGCCACAGGCUGGUUUAAGGACCAUAAAGCUGUAUAAUAAGGCGGGACCCAACUGGAGGGAGGAGAUUAUUAGGGGAAGAGAGUCUAAGUGAACUGGGAAGAAAUCACUUAGGCAUGAAAUUUGGGGGUCUCCUAGACUAGUAGAUUUCUUGGAGGUUCACUAUAGCCCCACCAACCCUGAAAUAAAUGUUGGCAUGCUUCUGC